CACAUAUUACGGGGGGUCGGUCACCCAGAGCGUCGCCUCUCAGCAACCUCUGGGCCCUGCCCUGUCUGAAUAUUCUACCCAUGUCUUUUGCGCACUCUUCGUUUCCUCGGUGGGCUUGCCUGCCGAUAGGACACUAUACAACCUUUUUGUAAUUGCAAUCAGCGUCAGAAAAACUUUUAAUAGUUA
rnacentral:misc_RNA from 1 species